rnacentral:rRNA from 1 species
CACGUAGGGUGCGAGCGUUGUCCGGAAUUAUUGGGCGUAAAGAGCUCGUAGGCGGUGUGUCACGUCGGCCGUGAAAACCUGCAGCUUAACUGUGGGCGUGCGGUCGAUACGGGCAUCACUGGAGUUCGGCAGGGGAGACUGGAAUUCCUGGUGUAGCGGUGAAAUGCGCAGAUAUCAGGAGGAACACCGGUGGCGAAGGCGGGUCUCUGGGCCGAUACUGACGCUGAGGAGCGAAAGUGUGGGGAGCGAACAGG